CGAGAAAGCCCGCAAGGGUGAGUACAGCGGCGCACGGGUGCGUAACACGUGGGUAAUCUACCUCGAAGUCCGGAAUAACUCCCCGAAAGGGGUGCUAAUGCCGGAUGAGACCACGGGAGCCGAGGCUCCCGAGGGAAAAGAUGGCCUCUGCAUGCAAGCUAUCGCUUCGAGAUGAGCCCGCGGCCCAUCAGCUCGUUGGCGGGGUAACGGCCCACCAAGGCUACGACGGGUAGCUGGUCUGAGAGGACGAUCAGCCACACUGGAACUGAGACACGGUCCAGACUCCUACGGGAGGCAGCAGUGGGGAAUCUUGCGCAAUGGGCGAAAGCCUGACGCGGCAACGCCGCGUGUGUGAUGAAGGUCUUCGGAUCGUAAAGCACUGUCGCGAGGGACG
rnacentral:rRNA from 1 species